UUGGGGGAAUAAGAGCACACUGGCCUCCUUGUAGGGAACAGGAAAACGGUGAAGGCAGAGAAUCAGCAGGAGACUGCGUCAACAGUAGAAGAAGUGGGAAAAAAAUGGAGGAAAGUAGAUGGAGGUGAAGAAGAAAAGAUAAAUAACAGCGAAAGGUGAAAGAAAAUGCAAUCAAGAAAAACAGGAAGGAGGAGGACAGGAUGAGAGAACAGGAGACUGCACUGUGAAAAUCAAGUUUGUAAAGAGACUUCGUCUGGGAUUGUUAUAUAAUUUGUGCACUGGCCCUUUGUAAAGUCUCCACAAACUCUGCUUCUGAGGACUUCAGUAGACCAUCUACUGCUGUCU